CUGCUGCCUUCCGUAGGAGUCUGGUCCGUGUCUCAGUACCAGUGUGGGGGACCUUCCUCUCAGAACCCCUAGACAUCGUCGCCUUGGUGGGCCGUUACCCCGCCAACAAGCUAAUGUCACGCAUGCCCAUCCGUCUCCGGAGUUGCCUCCUUUGGCCGAAACGAAGAUGCCUCCCCUCCGGCCACAUGCGGUAUUAGGCCGGAUUUCUCCGGGUUAUCCCGCUGAAACGGGCAGGUUGCAUACGCGUUACUCACCCGUGCGCCGGUCGCCGG
rnacentral:rRNA from 1 species